UCAUUUUAAAGAGUGGGACGAAGUGCAAUGACAUCUGCGCAUACAGGCUAUUGCGCAAACGUAAAAUGAAGGAAAUGAUUAUGUUUCUUUAUCAUUCUGUUUACUUACAUUACUUACUUAGGACGUUUUAAGGUUACAAUCACAGCCACUAAACGAAUAAUAUUUAACACUGUAUAGUGACUGAUCAAAUUAUUAUUACAGUCACAGUGCGUUGAUUUCUGGUCACUGCACAUGCACGAUAGCUCCUACUUUACAUUUUAACCCGCUGUGUCAAAUUCGACAUGAGAUAAAAACUGUAGAAAGUGCGGUUAUCUAUUAUUUAUAAUAUAUAUAAUACAUAUGUCCCCUUAACUCGCUUUUUGUUUAUCAUUUCGCACGAUAACAAAGAUAAUCGGAAAAGGCAUAGUUUUUUAUAUUCAGUAUGUCCAUUUCAAAUGAACACACGAGGUUAUCUCUGUAAAUAUCAAAAAUGUGAAAAAUGUUUCAGAUGGGGAUUAUUGAACUUCAUGGGGGAACUUAAUGAGAUAUUGCCAUUCUUUUUACAUUUUUAUUUAAAGAAAUUUAAGUGCCAAUGUAAUUUUUAUUAAAUGUAACAUAUACACUUUUUUAUAACCUAUAUUUAAUUUUCUACAAAAAUGAGGAUACUUAAAACCGAAAAAUUAUUAAUCUGAAAAAUAUUUUAACCUCAACCUUGUAAAAUUUAUCGUAUGAAACAUAAACAUAAAAGCACUGUGUUACCUUCCCUUGUCUUUUAAUACCUUAAUCCUUUGUUCUAUCUGCUAACUCCCGAUUACUCGGACCACAAUAGACAAGAAAGUCGGUCACGCGUCGAGCCAUUUAGCUGUUUAGUCGUGUGCUCGAACUUGCGCAAAAUGUAUGCGCCUUAUGACAUGUAUAUUUCUGCGCAACGAAAGGAAUUGUGAAAUAAUAAACACAUUAGUUUGGGCACAACUAAUACUUUUAAGAUGUCUGGGAAUUAAUUAUGAUCGAUUCAACAGUGAAAAAUAAUUUAUUAUUUGAAAGUGAAACACCAUAUCGCUACGAUCACUAUCAUUAUCAGAAGGAUCUACCGAUUCACUAUCCACAAUAAUAACAUACUUCUCACUACUAUCAUCAAUUUUAGAUUUUCUAUUUACUGGCAUGAUAUUUCGGGUGAGGAUAUUGAAAUGGAAAAUACCGUCAGCGAGCAAUGGAAACUAAUUAAUCAAACAAGAAAGAGAAGAACAACUACUGAUCCGGAAGAUAUAAGUAUGAAAAAAAUAAGACCUAAGAAUAAAAAUGUAAAAUCUGAUUACAAGUGGUUAGAAGGCUCGCAACCAGCAAUAAAAGAUAUCACGUAUUGCAAAAUCUAAAUGAUGAAGAUAUAGAAGAAGCUAAUUCUUUAGUGAUUAAACCUCCCCUUUUUUUCAUAGAAACUCCUAAUAUUGAUCCACUAAUAAAAACACUAAACAAGCUUGUAAAACCCAAGUAAUGUUAAUGAAAUAAUUAAAAAAUAAACAAAUCAAACUGCAAAAAUUCACUUCAGAUGCAUACAGUUAUUAAAGCACUUGAAAUAAGAAAUUCAAAUUAUUACACUUACCAACCAAGGACUGAAAAGAAAUUUAAGAUAGUGAUAAAGGAACUACAAAACUUGGCGCAAAAUAUAUUAAGGCAGACCUAAUGGAAAAAAGACACAAAAUAAGUAAUAUAAUUAAACUGGUCAAGAACAGCACAUCAACACCAUUACUAAUGUUCCUUAUAGAACUUCAACGAGUCAAAAGCAACAAAGUAUUUUUACUACAAAGGUUCUGUUGCUUAGGUAUGAUUUGAGCGACCGUAUAUUAUUUUCUCUAGUAUUUCGGAAAACACAGGAAGUAGUAAUAUUGGUCUGUAAGAGUUAACAAUAUAUCAUGAAUGGAAUCAGGGUUAAAGUCAGAAUCAGAGCUAGAGAUAAAAGCAAAAAGGGAUCGGCAAAAAGUUUGAUUGCCGUCUCCACAGCCCUAUGCAAGGGUAAUUUCACCUACCAGGUAUGACGCAGAUAUUCGCCGGUCAUGGUAACUUCGUAGUGAAUAUUAGUCCUCGAUACUUGGAACAAUGCGCGGAAACCUCGUUAUGGCGCGCGCGGUUGACUAAGUGAGACGUCCGCUGACACGCGCCACCUUACGCGCGCUCUCUCCACCACAAUACACAGUAUGAUAAACAGACAACGAAAGUUGGCAACCGUCACGCGCCAAAGAAUCAAAUAUCGGCAUCAUCAGAAGUUGACCUCGGCUCAAAGAAGGUACAACUCAUCAUUAGCAGAAAUUAAAACUGCAAGAGGGAUGCAAUAGCAAGGACUUCGAAAAAGAUAUCCACGAAAACCACAUCAGCGGAGAAAAGAAAUCCAAACACUUUUGGAAGGAUACCAACAAAAAUGAAGAUUGCAGCGUCCGCAGAAAUAAUGACGCGUCGAAACUCCGCAUACUCAUGGAAUAAACGGUCACGUGACAAUUAUCCCAUGAUAGUUUUUAGUAUAAAUAAGUGUAGUCACUUAGAGUCAGUCAGUUUUCAGUUGAGAGUCAAUCAGUUCUUUGCAGUUGAGUAAAGAAUUGGUCGAGAGUUGACAUCAAAUUCAGAAGAAGUCUUUGCAAAGCUGAGACUUGUUUUUUUUAAUCUAAUUUUUGAGUAACGUCAAGAAGUAAAAUCGAGCAUUUAUUAAUACUCAUAUAGUCAGUCUUUCAACAACUAUACUAACUUGAUACGACAUUCCAAGCAUGCGAUCGAUGAUACAUAUAAACAAGGAAAACUUGAAUCUUGAACGUGGAAACUUGAACGUGGAAAUUUAUUUACCAGUUGAAUUGAUACGCUAAUUAACGCUACCCAUACUGUUAUAUUAAUAAAUUAGAACAUCAAGAAUACAACAGUUUGGAAAUUCAAAAUAGUGCAGCGCUUUAGGAGGAUGCAACAAGUUUUUAAAACCAUUCCAUUCAGUCGUUUGCCUUGUUUCAAAAAUUAACGAACAAGAAUCCAACUAAUCGAAACAGUUUAAGGACCAUUUCUGGUAGCAGCAACUACCGUUUUGAUUUAAAUAUAAUUCGAGGAACCCAAGAUUCGACAUCUAGAGUAACACAUGAAAUGGAUAGGUCGUGAUAGGUACUGAACAAGUACUAGAGUAUAAUUGACAGUAUAUUUAUUAACAACACUCAAUGUACACUUUACGUAGCUCGCGAUUGCAUUUAAUUGUUCGCGGUUACAAGUUCGACUUCUAGACGAUGCGUUACGAUAGCGAUUGAGCAAAGUGUGCGGUACAAGUUCGGAUGACGAUUGCUCAAGAUGCGUCGGGGAACUCUAGUCAACUAUCAACUACCAACUGACUUUCCGUCACGAUGAUGCUGCAGAGGAAAACUAUGACGGGGUGUGUCUAAGGAUACGAGAUCAUCGGAUUCGUCGAGGAAAACCUUCGUUAGGAAAGUGAAGGAAAUAGACGUCGCUGUUAAAUGGUUAAUUUCUAUGUUGGUGGUUGAAGAAGGAUGCUAUCCGUCCUCGAGAGAAAGUUGCUAGCGGGAAGCAUCGUACGUGAGAAAAGCAGAUUUCCUGUAUCUUUCCGUAGUAGAUGAUAGAUUUAGGGACUUUUAAGACAAAGACUAUUUCGUUCGUUUUAAGAACCUUAGUUAGAGAAAUCCUAAGAUCUGUAGCGGGUCCUUAGGCUAGUUAAAAAUAUGCUGUUUCGACAUUUAGCAAUCAUCUUGUCCGAAGGAUAGGGUCUUUGUGUAGCAAGCCACGGGACAGAAUCCGUUGGGAAGUUUGCUGUCGAGUGCCGCUACACACAUAUCGGUUACGAACACCGAAGAUGAAGACAGGAUUGUGAAACCAAAUAAUGAAAAAGGAUAGUUUAAUUUAGUAAGACAAAGACUGUCUGAUAUUUUUAUUGAAGUUGUACAGAACUGUAAGAGGUCUACAAACUGCUACAAAGUUAAAAAGCCGGAGGUUUUUUCUAACAAAAGUUGCCCUGUAGUUUCUCGUAAAUAAUUAAAUUAUUAUUACAAAUCUUUUGGAAAUAUUUGUAAUUUCUUACAGUAUCUAUACUAUAUUAUUUUAAACCGAAAUUUUAUUAUAGAAAAGAAAGUAAAACCAAUUUGCAUAUAAAUUAAUCUUUUUUAUUUCAUUUCUACAUAUAUGAAAUGGAAUAUUAGAUAGACUCCUAUUCAAUGAAAAGGAAUUUUUGUGAAAAUAAUUCAAUAAUAGUCAGAGUAAUAGUCCUUCUUUUACAUCGUCUUCAGAGAAAUAAAUCUUUUUUUGUCUCGCUAACAAUCUUCUAGUUCAACACAUUUUUGCCACUUGUUUCUAACAUAUCCAUUUACACACUCACAGCCUGGAAUGCAUUGCUAAAAUAUAAAAUAAUAUUUAAUCUAUUGUUGUAUUCGAUACAAGUAACUUAUGAUUAAAUAACUAUUGGUAUGUAGUACUGCAGUAUUAUUUUAUGUUAUACGAGACAAUAAUAUGUUUAACAUAUUUUCGAUAGACUUUA